rnacentral:rRNA from 1 species
ACGGUAACAGGAAGCAGCUUGCUGCUUCGCUGACGAGUGGCGGACGGGUGAGUAAUGUCUGGGAAACUGCCUGAUGGAGGGGGAUAACUACUGGAAACGGUGGCUAAUACCGCAUAACGUCGCAAGACCAAAGAGGGGGACCUUCGGGCCUCUUGCCAUCAGAUGUGCCCAGAUGGGAUUAGCUUGUUGGUGAGGUAACGGCUCACCAAGGCGACGAUCCCUAGCUGGUCUGAGAGGAUGACCAGCCACACUGGAACUGAGACACGGUCCAGACUCCUACGGGAGGCAGCAGUGGGGAAUAUUGCACAAUGGGCGCAAGCCUGAUGCAGCCAUGCCGCGUGUAUGAAGAAGGCCUUCGGGUUGUAAAGUACUUUCAGCGGGGAGGAAGGUGUUGUGGUUAAUAACCGCAGCAAUUGACGUUACCCGCAGAAGAAGCACCGGCUAACUCCGUGCCAGCAGCCGCGGUAAUACGGAGGGUGCAAGCGUUAAUCGGAAUUACUGGGCGUAAAGCGCACGCAGGCGGUCUGUCAAGUCGGAUGUGAAAUCCCCGGGCUCAACCUGGGAACUGCAUUCGAAA